CCUACGGGAGGCAGCAGUGAGGAAUAUUGGUCAAUGGACGAGAGUCUGAACCAGCCAAGUAGCGUGAAGGAUGACUGCCCUAUGGGUUGUAAACUUCUUUUAUAUGGGAAUAAAAUGUUCCACGUGUGGGAUUUUGUAUGUACCAUAUGAAUAAGGAUCGGCUAACUCCGUGCCAGCAGCCGCGGUAAUACGGAGGAUCCGAGCGUUAUCCGGAUUUAUUGGGUUUAAAGGGAGCGUAGGUGGAUUGUUUAGUCAGUUGUGAAAGUUUGCGGCUCAACCGUAAAAUUGCAGUUGAAACUGGCAGUCUUGAGUACAGUAGAGGUGGGCGGAAUUCGUGGUGUAGCGGUGAAAUGCUUAGAUAUCACGAAGAACUCCGAUUGCGAAGGCAGUUCACUGGACUGCAACUGACACUGAGGCUCGAAAGUGUGGGUAUCAAACAGGAUUAGAUACCCGUGUAGUC
rnacentral:rRNA from 1 species